rnacentral:tRNA from 1 species
ACCUAGCUGGCUCAGUCAGUAGAGCAUGUGACUCUUAAUCUCAGGGUCAUGAGUUCAAGCCCCACGUUGGGCU